AUUAUUUUAAGCUAUAUAUUGGUAGUAAUUAAUAAUUUAUGAAAUCAUAAGAUUUUGGCGGUAUUUUAAGCUUAUUAGAGGAAUUUGCUCUGUGAUGGAUACAACGCCUCGAUCUUACUUAAUUUGGUUUUAAAAGUCAGUUUGUAUACCACUAUAUUUAAUUAUAUUGAAUAAUUAUAUUUAAGAUUUUUAUAAAAAAAAUAUAUUAAGUCAAGGUGCAAUUAAUAAUUAUG
rnacentral:rRNA from 1 species